CAACACUCACAACCAAGAUAAAUAAAUCACCAAGAGAUCAAAAUUAAUUUCAAAAUUUUGAUGAAUAUAUAUAUUAAGAAUUCAUAUAACAAAUUAUCGUCAAAAUAAUAAGUAGUGGAGUAAAACCGAUAAUUAAUAUGAAUUUAAUUCAAUUCGAAUUCCGGUCAAAGUUAUCGAAAACAAUUUAAUCUCCCCAAAAUAAUAAUUUCAAAUCAUCUCCUUUCUCAAAGAUAAUUUUAAUUCCCACAUGCCUUUCCUCAACAUGAUUUA
rnacentral:lncRNA from 1 species